rnacentral:rRNA from 1 species
UACGAAGGGCGCUAGCGUUGUUCGGAAUCGCUGGGCGUAAAGCGCACGUAGGCGGAUUUGUCAGUCAGGGGUGAAAUCCCGGGGCUCAACCUCGGAACUGCCUUUGAUACAGCAAGUCUUGAGUUCGAGAGAGGUGGGUGGAAUUCCUAGUGUAGAGGCGAAAUUCGUAGAUAUUAGGAAGAACACCGGUGGCGAAGGCGGCCCACUGGCUCGAUACUGACGCUGAGGUGCGAAAGCGUGGGGAGCAAACGGG